GAGGUUGUAACUCAGUGGUAGAGCACUUGCCUCACAUGCAUGAAGCUCUGGGUUUGAUCCCCAGCACCACCU
rnacentral:tRNA from 1 species